GGCAACUUGCCCGAGUGGUUAAGGGGGUAGACUUAAAAUCUACUGGGCUUUGCCCGCAUUGGUUCAAAUCCAGUAGCUGUCG
rfam:Gregarina niphandrodes unplaced genomic scaffold scaffold00250, whole genome shotgun sequence.